GAUGAACGCUAGCGGCGUGCCUAAUACAUGCAAGUCGAGCGAACAGACGAGGAGCUUGCUCCUCUGACGUUAGCGGCGGACGGGUGAGUAACACGUGGAUAACCUACCUAUAAGACUGGGAUAACUUCGGGAAACCGGAGCUAAUACCGGAUAAUAUAUUGAACCGCAUGGUUCAAUAGUGAAAGACGGUUUUGCUGUCACUUAUAGAUGGAUCCGCGCCGCAUUAGCUAGUUGGUAAGGUAACGGCUUACCAAGGCAACGAUGCGUAGCCGACCUGAGAGGGUGAUCGGCCACACUGGAACUGAGACACGGUCCAGACUCCUACGGGAGGCAGCAGUAGGGAAUCUUCCGCAAAGGGCGAAAGCCUGACGGAGCAACGCCGCGUGAGUGAUGAAGGUCUUCGGAUCGUAAAACUCUGUUAUUAGGGAAGAACAAAUGUGUAAGUAACUAUGCACGUCUUGACGGUACCUAAUCAGAAAGCCACGGCUAACUACGUG
rnacentral:rRNA from 1 species